rnacentral:lncRNA from 1 species
AAAAGCGCUUCUUUUUGAUGUGAUGAGUCUUCUUAGCUGGACUCAUGGUUAAAGGCAAAUGGGCGUGAUCGACGACCAUCCAUCCUUCUUCCAAGCAAAUGGGUUCAAAUAUCCGCUUAGAGGGAUAAUCGUCAACUUCCUCUUCCCGACAGUCAAGCAAGCUGCCAGUAUGAUGGACAAAACUCGCUCCUCGUAUUAUUGCACGUAGUCAUGAUGCUCU